rnacentral:SRP_RNA from 1 species
GCCUUUCUCAGGUGUAAUCCUAGCUACAAGGGAGGCUGAGGUUGGAAGAUCUCUUGAACUAGAGAGUUCUGAGCUUCAGUGGGCUAAUCCAACAGGGUGUCCACACUAAGUUAGACAUUAAUAUGGUGACUUUGUAGCAGUGGAAGGUAACCAGGUUGCCUAGGGAAGGGUGUACCAGCUCAGAUCUGAAAUAGAGCAGGUCAAGUCUCUGGUGUUGAUCAGACUGGGGCUUGCCCCUGAGUAGACCCUGCACUUCCAACCUGGGUGAGAUUGGAAGACCCAGUU